rnacentral:rRNA from 1 species
UACGUAGGGCGCAAGCGUUGUCCGGAAUUAUUGGGCGUAAAGAGCUCGUAGGCGGUUUGUCGCGUCUGCCGUGAAAGUCCGGGGCUCAACUCCGGAUCUGCGGUGGGUACGGGCAGACUAGAGUGAUGUAGGGGAGACUGGAAUUCCUGGUGUAGCGGUGAAAUGCGUAGAUAUCGUGGAGAACACCCGUGGCGAAGGCGGGCUUCUGGCUAAUUUCUGACGCUGAGGUGCGAAAGCUAGGGGAGCGAACGGG